rnacentral:rRNA from 1 species
GUAUGUAUGUAUACACAAGGCUCAGUAUCGAGUAUAGCUUUGCUCUCCAAGAUGUGAUACUUUCAGGAAACAGAAAAUAAAGCAUCUAUCUUCUAAAGAACUUUAGAGGAGAGGAGAAGAAGCGACUCACCUAUCAGUUAGUAGGUAUGGUAAGGGCAUACCUAGACGAAGACGGGUACGGGGAAGGCAACUUCGAUUCCGGAGAGGGCGCAUUUAGAGAUGGCGACCAGUUCUAAGGAGUGCAGCAGGCUCGAAACUUACCGAAUUAUAGAUUAGAGGUAGUGAUGAAACGUUUAUAUAAAGAUACUGGUAAAGCAAGUAUUAGCAACUGGAGGGUAAGUCUGGUGCCAGCAGCCGCGGUAAUACCAGCUCCAGGAGCUUCUUCGAUAUGUUGCGGUUAAAACGUCCGUAGUCGCGGCCUGGGACUGACCUGUAAUCUAUUUGGUUAACAAAUAGAUAGGGGCAGUAGCAGGCUGGAAAAGAGCAAUUUGGUGUCAGCUAAUGGUAUGGGGAGGGGUGAAGUCUGAGGAUCCAUGCAGGAGGAGCAAAGGCGAAAGCACUGACAAAGAUUGAUUCUGUUGAUCAAGGACAGAGGCUAGAGGAUCGAAUACGAUUAGAUACCGUAGUAGUUCUAGCAGUGACCGAUGAUAAUUUUGCUUAUGGCAAUAGAGAAAUCAAAAUAGAUCUCCGGGGGGAGUACAUGCGCAAGCAAGAAACUUAAAGAAAUUGACGGAAGACUACCACAAGGUGUGGAUUGUUCGGCUUAAUUUGACUCAACGCGGGAAAACUUACCAAGCUUAUUUGUUCAACGAGUAUAUAUACGAGAGCAAAAUGGUGGUGCAUGGCCGUUCCUAACAGAUGGAGUGAUUUUGUGAUUAACUUCCGUAAUCUGUGUAAUCUCAGAAUAGCUUGUUCGAAAGAACAAUUCGAGGCAAGAACAGGUCAGUGAUGUCCUUUGAUAGCUUGGGCCGCACGCGCAAUACAAUGUUUUAUGUAGUAAGAUAUAGAUAAAAAAUAGAACAUGAGGGAUUGAGAGCUGAAAAGCACUCAUGAACACGGAAUAGCUAGUAAUCGUCAGUU